UACAGGGGGGGCAAGCGUUGUUCGGAAUUACUGGGCGUAAAGCGUGCGCAGGCGGUUAUGUAAGACAGUUGUGAAAUCCCCGGCUCAACCUGGGAAUUGCAUCUGUGACUGCAUAGCUAGAGUACGGUAGAGGGGGAUGGAAUUCCGCGUGUAGCAGUGAAAUGCGUAGAUAUGCGGAGGAACACCGAUGGCGAAGGCAAUCCCCUGGACCUGUACUGACGCUCAUGCACGAAAGCGUGGGGAGCAAACAGG
rnacentral:rRNA from 1 species